GAGUUUGAUCGUGGCUCAGGAUGAACGCUGGCGGCGUGCCUAACACAUGCAAGUCGAACGGAGUUUAUGAGGAAGAAGCUUCGGCGGAAUUCUUAUAAACUUAGUGGCGGACGGGUGAGUAACACGUGGAGAACCUGCCUCUUACCGGGGGACAGCAGUUGGAAACGAACUGAUAAUACCGCAUAAGCGCACGAGACCGCAUGGUCCUGUGUGAAAAGAUUUAUCGGUAAGAGAUGGCUCCGCGUCUGAUUAGCCAGUUGGCGGGGUAACGGGCCCACCAAAGCGACGAUCAGUAGCCGGCCUGAGAGGGUGAACGGCCACAUUGGGACGUGAGACACGGCCCACGACUCCUACGGGAGGCAGCAGUGGGGGAGUAUUGCACAAUGGAGGAAACUCUGAUGCAGCGACGCCGCGUGAGUGAAGAAGUAUUUCGGUAUGUAAAGCUCUAUCAGCAGGGAAGAAAGACCUCGAAAGAGGGGA
rnacentral:rRNA from 1 species